CAAUAGCGUAUAUUAAAGCUGCUGCGGUUAAAAAGCUCGUAGUUGGAUUUCUGUCAAGGACAACUGGUCCGCCCCUCGGGUGAGCACAUAGUUUGGUCUUGGCAUCUUGUUGGAAACUGUUGCUGCACUUGGUUGUGUGGCGCAGUGUCCAGCACUUUCACUUUGAGGAAAUUGGAGUGUUUCAAGCAGGCACAUGCCUUUGGACACAGUAGCAUGGAAUAAUUAGAUUGGGCUUUUGCUCCAACUUGUCGGUUUCUGGAGCUGAGGUGAGAAUUAAUGGGGAUUGUUGGGGGCAUCCGAAUUUAGCCGUCAGAGGUGAAAUUCUUGGAUCUGCUAAAGACGGACAACUGCGAAAGCGUUUGCCCAGGAUGUUUUCAUUGA
rnacentral:rRNA from 1 species